GAUGAACGCUGGCGGCGUGCCUAAUACAUGCAAGUCGAGCGAACAGACGAGGAGCUUGCUCCUCUGACGUUAGCGGCGGACGGGUGAGUAACACGUGGAUAACCUACCUAUAAGACUUGGAUAACUUCGGGAAACCGGAGCUAAUACCGGAUAAUAUAUUGAACCGCAUGGUUCAAUAGUGAAAGACGGUUUUGCUGUCACUUAUAGAUGGAUCCGCGCCGCAUUAGCUAGUUGGUAAGGUAACGGCUUACCAAGGCGACGAUGCGUAGCCGACCUGAGAGGGUGAUCGGCCACACUGGAACUGAGACACGGUCCAGACUCCUACGGGAGGCAGCAGUAGGGAAUCUUCCGCAAUGGGCGAAAGCCUGACGGAGCAACGCCGCGUGAGUGAUGAAGGUCUUCGGAUCGUAAAACUCUGUUAUUAGGGAAGAACAACUGUGUAAGUAACUAUGCACGUCUUGACGGUACCUAAUCAGAAAGCCACGGCUAACUACGUG
rnacentral:rRNA from 1 species